CAGCAGCCGCGGGAAUACGAAGGGUGCAAGCGUUAAUCAAAAUUACUGGGCGUAAAGCGCGCGUAGGUGGUUCAUUAAGUUGGAUGUGAAAGCCCUGGGCUCAACCUGGGAACUGCAUCCAAAACUGGUGAGCUAGAGUACGGUAGAGGGUAGUGGAAUUUCCUGUGUAGCGGUGAAAUGCGUAGAUAUAGGAAGGAACACCAGUGGCGAAGGCGACUACCUGGACUGAUACUGACACUGAGGUGCGAAAGCGUGGGGAGCAAACAGGAUUAGAUACCCCAGUAGUCCCUGUCUCUUAUAC
rnacentral:rRNA from 1 species